UCCUCAUCUUCUCUGACUUUUACCUUGACCCAGAUAGGGUUUUAUUAUGCUCAGCUCUUCUCUUCCCAGCCUCCUCUGCCGUCAAAACUCAAACCACCUAAGCUCAUAGAUCGAUCUCUUCUGUGUCUUCAAAAAACCCGAUUCCUUCGCUCCUCCGCCACACGCCCCAAACCCAAAGCAUUCCCGGACCCCAGCUUCUUCAACCCCCUUUCGUACUUGGUAAGCUCCUCAUCAAUUUCGCGUAAUCACAUCUUCGCAAGCCUAACAAGAACCACUCUAUCACCGCCUCUCUCUCUCUCUCAAACCCAGCAGCAAAUUGAGCCGAAAGUUUCUGUCUUCAGCGAAUCAAACUCACUUUGUGUCCUGAUGGGAUUGUGAUUCGUACUUCAUCUACAAGCCUUCAACUUGGAUUAUUCGAGUACUGUUGCAAGCUUCGAUUCACUGUCAAAUUACCGCACACAGAGACGGAGUAAGUAUCAAACUGCAGUUUUCAAUUCAAUUCCAGUCCCUCCAAUUAUUUCACCUUUUGAUUUCAUUUCUUUGAUUAUGAUGCUACCUGGGUUUUUUUUUUUGGCCACUGGUUCUUUUAAAUGUAUAUAUUUCAACCUUUGCAUACUAGUGUGAAAUUGAUA